rnacentral:rRNA from 1 species
CGCGUAGGCGGUCAUGCAAGUCAGGUGUGAAAUCCCCAGGCUUAACCUGGGAACUGCGCUUGAAACUGCAUAGCUUGAGGCCGGGAGAGGAAACGUGGAAUUCCUGGUGUAGCGGUGAAAUGCGUAGAUAUCAGGAGGAACACCGGUGGCGAAGGCGGCUUUCUGGACCGGUUCUGACGCUGAAGCGCGAAAGCGUGGGGAGCAAACG